CGCGGAUGUUUGUGUAGCGCGAGAUGAUGUUUUUGUUGUUCUAAUCUUCUGAAUAUGGCUUCGUAGUUCUUUUGACAAGGCGUAGGGAAAGCCCCCUCCCCAAUUUAUUUCAGCUUGCCUUCAAGCAUCGCUGCAAGAUCUGCGCUACACACACCGUGACACAGCCGAGGAAAUGCGGACUUCUAGCCCUUGGGUUAAAUGGCUGCAGCACCCACACGGUAGCAAGCUGGAACAUAUGGAGAGAGAGAGAGAGAGAGACCCGGGCUCAUGUCAAAACCUGUCACCGCUGCCCAAGCUGGAGUCUGUCAGACUAGUCU
ensembl:lncRNA